rnacentral:miRNA from 1 species
UAUUAUUAUUAUUAUUUCCCUCUUUUUACAGGUAAGGCUUAAAGGUCAAGUAACUGUGAGCACUGGGUCAGUUGCUUGACCUUUAAGCCUUACCUGUAAAAAGAGGGA